CAAGUGUAAAGGCCAUAAAACUCGUCUCCCACCGUCUUCGUUUGUUCCUCUUCUCUGUCUGUCAACAGAACAGCCGAAUGCUCCUCUGCAACAUUCUCAUUUCUAGUUGAAAGCGUUCAAGAAACGAAAAAGUUCCUCUUCUUCUCUGGGUUGGGCCUUUGGAUUGGCCAUCCAUGAGGUUGGUGCAACUUUUGGGUAUGCCACUUCAGUAAUAUAUGAAACUCCUAUUUCAAACAUAUAAGAGGGUGAAUUACUCUGGGACUUUAUACGAACGUGCACCAGAUAUUAGUGAGGUUGUUUCAGAUGUGUACAAAAUGCGACUCUCAUUGCAGCUGCAGAAAAGCUCAACUAAACUCAAAGGAAAAUAAGAAUACUGAUGAUUUCCCAUCCUUACUUUUUCCAAGAGGUUCUUCCCAGCUGUCAGCAGUCAGUUUAAUCUCUGAAAGUAGUGCACCUAAUGUCGUAUAUAAAAGGAGGAAAUUAUGAAGAAACUAUGUCACCAUAUUUUCAGAAGAUCCAGAAAAGGAAGAGAGGAAGAGAGAGAUCCUAACCACAAUUAUCAUAAUUUAUAUCAAAUUGAUCACAUUGAUCGCAAAUAGAAUUCCAAACCAGUUGACAACUCAUGCGAAAUUUUACCAUAGCCUUGCUUUUGGUAUAAUUUUUAGUUAAUGAUCAAUCCCAUGUGUAAUUCUUGUUUCUCUACUGCAACUAGUCAGUCCAAAUUAACAACUCUUCGGCCAAAUCCGGUUUUCAUUGCUUUCUUUCAGUUUAACUUGGUUUGUUUUCAUGUUAUGUAUCCACUCCAUAACAAGAUUUGUUGCUAUUACUUUUUUUAUAGUAGUGAUUCAGACUUUGUUAUUCUAUUUCA